rnacentral:rRNA from 1 species
AGUGAACGCUGGCGGCGUGCCUAAUACAUGCAAGUCGAACGGAGUGGCGCACGGGUGAGUAAUGUAUAGCUAAUCUGCCCUACACUAGAGGACAACAGUUGGAAACGACUGCUAAUACUCUAUAGUGUAGGAUGAGGCUAUAUUGUAUCAGCUAGUUGGUGAGGUAAUGGAUCACCAAGGAUAUGACGCAUAACUGGUCUGCGAGGAUGAUCAGGCAAACUCUAACUGAGACACGGGUCAGACGCCUACGGUAGGCAGCAGUAGGGAAUAUUUCUCAAUGGGGGAAACCCUAAAGCAGCAACGCCGCGUGGAGGAUGACACUUUUCGGAGCGGAAACUCCUUUUGUUAGGGAAGCGGUACCUAACGAAUAAGCACCGGCUAACUCCGUGCCAGCAGCCGCGGUAAUUC